rnacentral:rRNA from 1 species
UACAGAGGUCUCAAGCGUUUGUUCGGAUUCAUUGGGGCGUAAAGGGUGCGUAGGUGGCGAGGCAAGUCUGGUGUGAAAUCCCGGGGGCUCAACCCCCGGAACUGCACUGGAUACUGCCUUGCUUGAGCACUUGGAGAGGGAACUGGAAUUUACGGUGUAGCAGUGAAAUGCGCAGAUAUCGGGAGGAACACCAGUGGCGAAGGCGGCACGUCUGGGCCGGAACUGGACGCUGAGGAGCGAAAGCGAUGGGGAGCGAAC